rnacentral:lncRNA from 1 species
CCAACACAUUGGAACUCCCAUUUACUGUAUUAUGGCUCUUGUGUAAUGAUAACUUUUGAGAGUGAAGGAGACUCUAUAAUAAUGUUGGAGCAAAAGACAUAAACCAAAACCAUUCUUGGCAAAUAGGAUAUAUGUCACUCUAGUUAUAGCAAGAUUUACACUAUAUUAUUACUAACACUACUACUACUAUUUUAUACCAUAAUAUUGCUUCAAAGUAUUUGUUACAUAUGUAUACACAUAAACUUCAUAUUAAAAUGUCAACUUCAUGCUAAAGCCUGAGUGUCUACAGAUUAUUAAACCUGGAAAGCGAGAACACUGCAUCCUCAAGCUUGAGAAACAAAUAUUCCCAAACCAUUCUAAAGAGACAGAAAAGUCCUACUUCUUCACUACCCACUGCAUGCCAUGCCAGCUUGACCUUUUUUCUGGUAUUUCUGAUGUUGGGCUCUCUGGGGAGUAAGGAGUCUACAGAACAGACCAGGCCAACUUAGGUGGCUUCCUCACCUUCACCUUUAUCCAGCAAAGCAGCUCCUAUCAGGAAAUGUGCCUGAACAGUCUCCUGGAUAUUCACAGUACAUUCCCAAACUUAACAGUUGAGAUUGACCUGACUGGAAGAUCCCAGUGAGGACUGGCUGCCUGGACACAGAGAACAUCCUUUCUUUGGGAUCCCCAGGAACAACAGAGGAGCAGAUCUCUACAAGAACAGAACAGACUCUUCAGAGUUUCAGGGUGAGGGAGAUGUGGGUAUUCAUGUUAGAUGACCUUGUGUGGACCAGCACAUGGGGGAGGCCUGAGAUGUUGAGGUAACUGCCGUGCAAUGUCCACGAAGCAGUGGAACCUGAAUCAGUCAAAACACGUAGGUCAUCAGCGCUCAGAAGGGCCAGGGGUACUCUGGAAGCCCUCUUGUCAUGCAAGGUAAGAGCAAAGUGGAUGAAGGGGCCUUUAUCACUCUAACAAGCUUGAGGCAAAGGGCGGAGGAGACACCCCAGGCUCUGGUGACCCAGGGACGGGACAGUGAGGAAGUGAGGAUGCUGAUGGGAAUCAGUUUCUCAGGGGACUUUAUUGAUAGCCCAAACCCUUUCUUGGUUUCCUCCUAUUACCCACUUUAUCUUCUUUUCUGAUUCGAUCCUCAUUUUAUCUUAUCACAGGUAGGUUUUAUUGACUAGAUAGGCAAUUCAGCAUUACUCUGGGAUCUCAUUGACAUAAUAUGUACUGAUGCUUUCUCCACUUUCUACUGUUCAUUAUCCUGGAGCUUUCCUACAAAACUUGGGCUCUGUAUCUAAACACAUCUAGCUGAGUUUAAACUCCAGCUCUAGGAUUUUGUGAGCUGGGAGAACUUCUAAGUCUGAUUUUCCAACCUAUGAAACUUGGGAAUCUAAUAGUACC